AUUGAACGCUGGCGGCAGGCCUAACACAUGCAAGUCGAACGAGUGGCGGACGGGUGAGUAAUGUCUAGGAAACUGCCUGAUAGAGGGGGAUAACUACUGGAAACGGUAGCUAAUACCACAUACCAUCGGAUGUGCCCAGAUGGGAUUAGCUUGUAGGUCGGGUAAAGGCUCACCUAGGCGACGAUCCCUAGCGGGUCUGAUAGGAUGACCAGCCACACUGGAACUGAGACACGGUCCAGACGCCUACGGGAGGAAGCAGUGGGGAAUAUUGCACAAUGGGAGCAAGCCUGAUGCAGCCAUGCCGCGUGUAGGAAGAAGGCCUUCGGGUUGUAAAGUACUUUCAGCGGGGAGGCGUUACCCGCAGAAGAAGCACCGGCUAACUCCGUGCCAGCAGCCGCGGUAAUUC
rnacentral:rRNA from 1 species